UACGGAGGGUGCAAGCGUUGUUCGGAAUCACUGGGCGUAAAGGGCGUGUAGGCGGUCCGCUAAGUCUGAUGUGAAAGCCCGGGGCUCACCCCCGGAAGGGCAUUGGAAACUGGCGGACUCGAGUCCCGGAGAGGAGGGUGGAAUUCCCGGUGUAGCAGUGAAAUGCGUAGAUAUCGUGAGGAAGACCAGUGGCGAAGGCGGAUCUCUGGACAGCUCCUGACGCUGAGGCGCGAAGGCUAGGGGAGCAAACGGG
rnacentral:rRNA from 1 species